rnacentral:rRNA from 1 species
UACGUAGGGCGCAAGCGUUGUCCGGAAUUAUUGGGCGUAAAGAGUUCGUAGGCGGUUUGUCGCGUCGUUCGUGAAAACUUGGGGCUUAACUCCAAGCGUGCGGGCGAUACGGGCAGACUUGAGUACUACAGGGGAGACUGGAAUUCCUGGUGUAGCGGUGAAAUGCGCAGAUAUCAGGAGGAACACCAGUGGCGAAGGCGGCUCUGGGACGUAACUGACGCUGAGGAACGAAGACGUGGGGAGCAAACAGG